rnacentral:rRNA from 1 species
CAGGCCUACGGGACGCAGCAGUGGGGGAUAUUGCACAAUGGGGGAAACCCUGAUGCAGCGACGCCGCGUGGGUGAAGAAGCGCCUCGGCGCGUAAAGCCCUGUCAGCAGGGAAGAAAACGACGGUACCUGAAGAAGAAGCCCCGGCUAACUACGUGCCAGCAGCCGCGGUAAUACGUAGGGGGCAAGCGUUAUCCGGAUUUACUGGGUGUAAAGGGGGCGCAGACGGCGAUGCAAGCCAGGAGUGAAAGCCCGGGGCCCAACCCCGGGACUGCUCUUGGGACUGCGUGGCUAGAGGGCAGGAGGG